UGAGAUGUCGCCAAGUGGUAAGGCAUCGGGUUUUGAUCCCGCCAUUCGAAGGUUCGAAUCCUUCCAUCUCAG